AGUGAACGCUGGCGGUAGGCCUAACACAUGCAAGUCGAACGGCAGCACAGUAAGAGCUUGCUCUUACGGGUGGCGAGUGGCGGACGGGUGAGGAAUACAUCGGAAUCUACUUUUUCGUGGGGGAUAACGUAGGGAAACUUACGCUAAUACCGCAUACGACCUACGGGUGAAAGCAGGGGAUCUUCGGACCUUGCGCGAUUGAAUGAGCCGAUGUCGGAUUAGCUAGUUGGCGGGGUAAAGGCCCACCAAGGCGACGAUCCGUAGCUGGUCUGAGAGGAUGAUCAGCGACACUGGAGCUGAGACACGGUCCAGACUCCUGCGGGAGGCAGCAGUGGGGAAUAUUGGACAAUGGGCGCAAGCCUGAUCCAGCCAUACCGCGUGGGUGAAGAAGGCCUUCGGGUUGUAAAGCCCUUUUGUUGGGAAAGAAAAGCAGCAGGUUAAUACCCCGCUGUUCUGACGGUACCCAAAGAAUAAGCACCGGCUAACUUCGUG
rnacentral:rRNA from 1 species